rnacentral:rRNA from 1 species
UAGAGUUUGAUCCUGGCUCAGAUUGAACGCUGGCGGCAGGCCUAAGACAUGCAAGUCGAACGGUAACGACACUAGCUUGCUAGUGGGCGACGAGUGGCGGACGGGUGAGUAACGCGUAGGAAUCUACCUAGUAGUGGGGGAUAGCCAAGGGAAACUUUGGGUAAUACCGCAUACGAUCUACGGAUGAAAGGGGGCCUCUCUUUGAAGCUCUCGCUAUUGGAUGAGCCUGCGUAAGAUUAGCUUGUUGGUGGGGUAAUGGCCUACAAAGGCGACUAUCUUUAUCUGGUCUGAGAGGAUGAUCAGUCACACUGGAACUGAGACACGGUCCAGACUCCUACCGGAGGCAGCAGGCAGGAAUAUUGGACAAUGGGGGAAACCCUGAUCCACCCAUGCCGCGUGUGUGAAGAAGGCUCUAGGGUUGUAAAGCACUUUUAGUAAGGAGGAAGGCUCAGUAGUUAAUACCUGCUGGGAUUGACGUUACUUACAAAAAAAGCACCGGCUAAUUGCGUGCCAUCAUCCGCGGUAAUACGAAAGGUGCAAGCGUUAAUCGGAAUUACUGGGCGUACAGCGCGCGUAUGCUGCUUGAUAAGAUGGAUGUGAAAGCGCCGGGCUAGACCUGGGAACUGC